UACAGAGGUCUCAAGCGUUGUUCGGAUUCAUUGGGCGUAAAGGGUGCGUAGGCGGCGCCGUAAGUCUGGUGUGAAAUCCCGGAGCUCAACUCCGGAAUUGCACUGGAUACUGCGGUGCUCGAGGACUGGAGAGGAGACUGGAAUUCACGGUGUAGCAGUGAAAUGCGUAGAUAUCGUGAGGAAGACCGGUGGCGAAGGCGGGUCUCUGGGCCGUAACUGACGCUGAGGAGCGAAAGCAUGGGGAGCGAACAGG
rnacentral:rRNA from 1 species